rnacentral:misc_RNA from 1 species
GAUGAAGAACGUAGCGAAAUGCGAUAAGUAGUGUGAAUUGCAGAAUUCAGUGAAUCAUCGAAUCUUUGAACGCACAUUGCGCCCCUUGGUAUUCCAUGGGGCAUGCCUGUUCGAGCGUCAUUUGUACCUUCAAGCUCUGCUUGGUGUUGGGUGAUUGUCUAUCUUUUUAGACUCGCCUUAAAGUCAUUGGCAGCCGGCAUAUUGGCCUGGGAGCGCAGCACAAGUCGCGCUUCUUGUCAUGAAUGUUGGCGUCCAGUAAGUCUACAUAUUUUGCUCUUGACCUCGGAUCAGGUAGGGAUACCCGCUGAACUUAAGCAUAUCAAUAAGCGGAGGA